CACACACACACACUCGCUCAGGGUAUUCUUCUUCUGAUCAUUUUAGUUUUCUUUUCCUUUCAAUAAAUCUUUUUCUCAGCCGUCGAAUGGAGUUACAAAGUGUUUUCCCGUGGAUUCGGUAGCAGAUACAUGGAGUCCAAAAGCCUCUGCAAUCCACCAAACUAAUGUUGGUAGUGCGCACCCAUGGCAUUCCAAUCUUCAAAUUUUCUGAAACAUUCAAAAAUCAGAUGCAAUACCUUCUGAACGUGGCACCGCUUUCCCUUGCCAAAAUAGAUGGCAAGCGCAUGAUCCUGUGGUUCAGUAUGGGGCCCAUCAUCUUGUCAACUCCAUCCAGUAGAGGUCCAACUCAUUGUUCCCUUACAAUCUUGCGUAGAUUGUUCACGCAAAAGCUGAGUCCAACAGGUGGUCUUCCAUGCAAAUUUGAGGGUGUACUUGAAUCAUCACUUGAAAGUGGAUAUCAUAACAAAUGCGAGUUCUUGGUUGGAAAUUCUCUGCAGGGCAAUUCAACUAUGGGCUUUGUGGUUGGAAACUUCAGUUGUAUGCAGAGCUCAUUAGACUACCGGGUGGUCCGGGUGGUUCUAGCCUUCAAAAGUACUAAAUAAUUGAAGAUUUUCUCACUAGUUUGCGGUAAGUUUGAAGAACAUAUAUUAAGAAUUGACUUCUUUGGGUUGGUUUAGAAGGAUUUACUAUUUUCUUUGGUUUCGUACACCGCUGUCACAGCACUCAUGAAACCUUUAUGUGCUUAUUGGCCUUAAUGCUUUUGUUAGGUUUGGAAUUCAUAGACUGGAUGUUAGAUAGGGAUAUGGAAUUUUCAUUAUGUAGUUGGAUUUUUUUAACGAGCUUUUACGGGAUGGUAAAUGUACUACUUUUUGUUUUUUAACGUGGAGGUUUAAAAGUGCUUGGGAGGUUCUAUUUUUGACAUACUAUUGUAGGUGAGUUCGUAACCUUUACUUGAAAAUUACUUUUCUAGCCAAAUGAUGGAAAAGUUUUGUUCUGGAAAUUCUUUUCCAAGCGUCGACCAAGCACCAGAAAAGAAAAAGAAAAAGUUUGUUGUGUGCGAAACACUUUGCAUGGAAAAUAUUAUAUGUUGUAAAAUGUUUUACGCCGAGACAAGCGGACCCUAGAACUCAUGGGACUUGCAAAUCCAUGAAGAUGCGAAUUAAGGAGAGGGCGUACUACAAGAUAAUGUACAUUAGCUUACACGCUAUCUUAUUAGUUACCCCUAUACUGUUUACCACAUUUCCUCCUCACCUAUCUCAAAGCCCUAAUCUUUGACAUCUCCAUCUUCUAUGCAUCAGUGUGAUUUCCAAUAAAAUCAAGGGUAACUUUUAAUCUCUCCCUCUGUGUUUGUGUGUUGAAAUCAAUCAAGCUAAAAGACCUGUAGUCGUUUAUGUUCUCUCUCUAUGCUUGUGGAUGAGGUUUGUGUUGUGUUGUAUAUCUAAAGGUGUUAAAUGUGUAGAUCCUAAGGUGGGCAUUGUUAUGUUUUUUCAAUCUUUAUGGCUUCCCUAUAAAUAUACGUUAUGUGCAAAAGGUUUAUCUCGAGUCGCUCAAUUUCUUUCUUGAAAUUUGUUUGUUUUAGUCACUGUUUUGUGUUACUGUUUCUGUAACCUCUAUCUAGCUUGCAAAGAGAGGGAGAGUGAUGGCAUCUGGAUGGGGGAUAACAGGAAACAAAGGGAGGUGCUAUGAUUUCUGGAUGUACAUCAGCUAGUGCAUGUCUCGUUGCAGGGAACCCAAUGACUGCUCUCUUCUCAGAGAAGACUGUCUCGAGUGUCUCCACCACUCCAAAGAGGUCAUCUCCAUCCCCCAACUCGUCUUUUUCACUCCCUUAAGUCCAUCUUCUGUGAUUGUUUUGUUGGUAAGUGGUAACCAAUAUCUAACAUUAUUGUCAAACUUCCUCUGUCAUAUCUCAUACCCUACCAAUUUCCUGUAGACAAUCAGCAACCCAAUUCUUCAAUCAAGUAAACUACCACUCUACUUUUAAAGGGAUGGCAACGGGGCGGAUAUACGGAUAAUCGUACCCGAUACCCGAAAAUAUACACGUACCCGAAUCCGCCCCGAUAACCGAAUGGGUAGAGAUUAGUUGCCCCAUAAACGAACCAAAUGGGUUUCGGGUAUUCCCCGAACUGAAUGGAUACCCGAUUUAAACAUAAGGAACAGCUAUAGAUCUUUACGAAAACAUCUCUUCUUCCUACCUGCAAUUGGAGUACAGGAGAGAAAACAUACUAGAUUCAUACACAAGUGACAGCUACAGAUCUGAGCAUGAGGAACAUAGUAGUAAUAGUAGAAGAAAGAAGAAGAAGAAGAAGAAGACCCAUUUCUCCAAACACGAGCUCCAUAUAAAUUAAAAAAAAAAAACAAACAUUAAAUCCCAAAGAGGGGAUGAAGUUUAGACAGAGGGAGAGUUCCACUCGAGUUAUAUGAAAGCGAGAGAGAGCGAGAUCGAGGCCAGACAGAGAGGAGGCAGAUCAGACGGAUAGGAGGGAGGGAGAUCGACGGGGAAGAGGGAGGUUGGCCUCUGAAGCGGCGCUAUGCCUUUGUGAGAAGCAAAUAUGUGAAACUGUGAAAGCCCUAGGAUUUUCGGACUAUCUCUCCAUAUAUGAUAUUAUAUUAUAUGUAAUAGACAAUAUAUAUUGGAUAUUAUAUAUAUUUAAGAGUUUGGUUCGGGUAACAGUUAAACCAUGACCGAACCGAUACCCAUUCGGUUAUCCAAGGCCUCAACCAUACCCAUAUCCACGGGGAAAAUUUCGGUUAUGGUUUGGGGAAAAUUUUCGGUUACGGUUUGGGUACCCAUUGGUUCGGUUCAAAUUGUCGUUCCUAAGUCUUAUGUCUUUCUGGGAAAUGUUUGAUCUAAAAUUUUCAUGUUAUCCAUUGGGCGUUAAUGUUGUAUGCUGUGGGAUUUUGUAACCGAGACAUAAAUUUUGCACUUAGAAAUGACAUCUAACAUAUCCUCUUUUCUUAAUUUCAUUGCUUAUAUAACUAUCAUAGUUAUUUCACUACAAAAAAUAGCAAAUAUAUUUCAUCCCCAUUCCUAUGAACAACCAAACGUAGAAAAACGAAUCAUCAUUCGAACCUUAUUCCAUUCCAUUUUUUCGGGUUCCCAUUCAUUGCAUUCCAUUUCGUUCAAACAUUGAUACCAUUGAACCAAACAUAGACUAAAAGAUUUGGUAUUAGGGGGAAGAGAAUUGUAAUACAAAACCUUUUGGGGUUGUGAAAAGGAAAAAUGGGUAUGCCCUUAAAAGCUCCCGUAAAUGUGAUUUCAAAACUACCCUGCUAUUCAUGUGAAAGGAAAACAGUGACUCUUAGUGGGUGUAAGGUCUACUAAUCAGCAAAUGAUAAGAAUUCUGAAAGUUAGGAUUUCAGAUUAUGAAAUCGGAAAACCAAUGGUUCUUAGCAGGUUAACGAGAUUACUGGCCACAACAUGUUGCUCCUAGUGUAGAGCUACUUGUUCCUAAAUAAGUGAUUUCGUAGUAGAGGGCUAAUAGCUACCUGUUAGCACCUUGAUUUCCAAUGCGUGCUAAGCUUGGCUAGCAGUGGCACCUUGCACCGUAGCCAAUCAGUAGAAACGAAGGCGUGAGGCAGUCAUGUCUUUACAAGGUGACCCGAUGGUGUCGGCACUAGUCCCUUAGGCAAGUGGCUGUCGUGAUGCAUGUGAAGGAUUCCAAUAAGAAUCCAAGUAUGAAUGCCCGCUUUAACUUCUAGCUUUGAAAGACCAGGAACCUUGUUCGGAGCUGGCAUGACUGUACAAGUUCCUUUCCUAUUUUUACACAAAGAGCUUUUUCUAUUUAAUAUAAUUAGGAAAGAUUGGCUUCAUUCCCUUCUCUUCCUCAAAUCCCACACUCGCCUACUUAGUUAGGUCAAUCAGUUCCUUGACUGAUGCCAUACUUCACUAAUUCAGUCUUUUCUAUUUGGCCUUAAAGAGCAAUAGACUCUUCCUAGUGUAGCAGCUAAGACGAUUCGUUCAAAGCACCACUUUCUUACCCAUAAGCAUAAGCAAAAGUAGCAACACGUUUAUCCCGUCUGGGUACAUACCUAUGGCCAUGAGCGGGAGAAGUGGAGGCGGGGGCACCAGUAGAUCGGCGCCAUAGUCUCAACAGAUUGGAUUGCCUUCGUAAACUAGUCUGGCUUACAGGUCUGAUUCUGAUUCUGGCUCCUGCUAGCUUCCUUCUCUUCCUUUCCUUGCUAGCUCCCUUCUAGCUCUGGAGGGAUCCCCCUGUCCGGCAUUCCUUCCUAAGGUCCGGAAUAGAGUAAUAAGAGUAAUAGACGUAAGGCCUUCCCCUUACUCUUUUGAGACUGACCUUCACUCUUCAAGCUCCGCCCCCCUUACUAAACCCCUCUCUCUAUAAAAAAGAAGAAGCCCUUUCUCCUUUUCUUUUAAUAAAAAGGGUUGCUUUGAAGCCGUAGCUUGUUGGUUUUUCCAUCAUCCACAACAAAUUGAAUGAAACCUGGCAAAAAAGAAGUGAACACUUUGCUGAGGAACGAAGCUUCAUAUUUGUUUUUCUUCAAACCCCCAACCCGCUCUCGCUCACCGCUACUAACGGGCCCGAUGAUAUCGAGGCAUGGAUGCUAAACGGGAAGCAGGCUUGUGGGACAAUGCAAUCAGCAAAACGGCCAAGUACUUGGAGCUGGGGUUAGAUCACGAAAUUGGCAUGGUAGGCGUGAGUUGGAUCAGGCAAAACAGUUAACGACGGUUACAGAUUUCUGCAUAUGUUGUUGGUAGCAAUGGACAGGUGUCCCGGGCAGAAACGAGCAGUUGUUGGCAGUUGUCGGUGACUCAGUAAUUCUGCACGUUGUUGAAGCCGUGGACAAGUGUCCAAGGCAGAGAAGGCAGAGGCAGUUACGGGCAGUUCCAGGUGGAUUCAAAAUCCAGUGUGCUGGCUGAUUCUGGCUAAGCUAGCACAGCCCUAGGGUAGUAGGGGGUGUCAACUACAAGAUCAUGGGUUUGCCCCAUGAUCUCAUGUACUUGGUGGUCACGUUUUGGAUUGUAUAGCCUAUUUAGGCAAGGCAUUUUCGUAGCCUAAGGCAGAGGGAUGUUCUGUCUAGAUUCUUGAGUGUUUCCUUUGUAAGUUGGUGCUUAAUAAAGGUUGGGACAGUUCCUGUAGCUCUUGGGUGUGUUCUAGAUGUUCAAACAUAAACGGAGUGUGUGAGUAAACACUAAUUGGUUGAGACCAAGUUGCUGGCAAACUUGGUGCCAUCACCGGCAAAAUUUCUAGGCGAAAAACAGCUCCGUGACACUACCCAUGAUGGAAUUUGCCAAAAUUUUGUUGGACCACGUAUCUUUGAUGGGUCUCACAUAUAUGUCACGCUGAUUCAAAAGAAAAGCCCUUUUCAUCUAAUAAGUCAAGUAGUGAGAAAUAAUUACUGCCUUAAUUAGUUUUGGAAGUGGAUUCGAUGUUACGUCGGGUUGAUAUAGAUCAAAAUUUACGUAUUAGAUCCGAAGUGUACUUGUUUCCUCAAAUUAAUGUCGCCCUGCUUGAAAGAAUUGGAUCAUCUUUAUAGAUCAAGAAAUUUGCGUGUUGCUUCGGUUAAAAGUAUACAUACCAUGUUUGCUUUAUGAGAUAGAAAUAAAGAAGUGGUUCUUACUUCCUAAUAGUUUAUGACUACUGACCACACGAGAAAAACACAUGUAAGUUGGUAGGGGUUUAAACUACUAGUUAUGUGAAGGAAAAAUAAUGAUAAACAAAUGAAAGUUAAUAGGUGUUUUGACUAACAGAAAUUUGAAAGUGAGAUAGUGAUUCCUUGGAGAUGUAAGAAUUUUGAUCACUAAAUAAUAAGAACUCUGAAAGUGUACAUUUCAAAUUACGAAAACGGAAAAAUAGUGUUCCUAGUAGGUUAACGAGACUACUGGCCACAGAUUGUAGCUCCUAGUAGAUGAGUACUUGUCAAUGAAAAAGUGAUUAACAGUAGAGGGCUACUAGCUACCGAGGACAAAAUUUGUCAAAAUCUUGUUAGAUCGAUUACGUUUUAUGGGUCUAAAAUAUAUGUUGCUCCAAUUUAAAAGUGUUGGGCCUGAAGUGCCCUCGUGGAUUUGGUUACAAGAUGCCACUCCCUACGAUUACUCUAAAAGCAAACUUGCGGGUGCGAUGUCGAAUGUCAUAAAAAGACUUAAUUGAAGCUCUCCCUAACACCAAUUAGUUUUAGGAAAGAUUGUAGAAAAGCAGUCCGAUAAGUGGUAUCAGAGUGGGUUGCUCAUUUUUUUAGGAUUUCUUCCUAGAGCAUCUCCUUAGCAAUAAUGAAUCUGAACACCAACAUGAAUCAUCCGUCUAGUUACACACCUAUCUUGGAUAGUGAAAAUUUUGAUUAUUGAAAAUCUAGAAUUGAGGCUAUUACGAGGUCUGUGAAUGAGGAGGUUUGGAAUUCUUGCAUCAGGGGGUAUAGCCUUCCCAUGAAAACAGUAGAGGAAAAAAAGGUCCCCAAGCUUACUUCUGAACUAUCUACCACGGAAAAGGUGGCUUUGUAGGCUAAUAAUCGUGCCUUAGAUAUAUUAUUUAGUGGUGUUGAUGUUAAUGAGCAUUGUAAGAUUGCUAAUUGCGAGAUUGCAGAAGAAGCGUGGAAUAUUUUAGUAACUUGUCAUGUGGGAAUGGAUGUUGUUAAACAAUUUAAGUUAAAAAGACUAACUACUGAAUUUGAGAUAAUCAAAAUGCAAGAGGAUGAUACGUUUAACCGAUUUUACUCAAAAUUGAUUGCUAUUAUCAAUAGUUGUGAAACCCUCGGUGAGCCUACUCCUCCUUUUAUGGUAAUUAAGAAAAUAUUGAGAUCCUUGCCUGAACGGUUUAAGAUGAAGGUCACUAUGCUUAAGGGUAAACGUAAACUCAAUGAAAAUCUGUUGAAGAAGCGGUAGGCCUCCUCCAAACUUGUGAAGCAUGAAGCUGAUGUGUCACAACUUGAGUUUCAAAAAUCUAAAAUUGAACCUUCGGCUAAGCUGAUCGCUUUUUCAAGCUCCCAAAGCGAGUCUAGGGAUUUAGAUUGUGACGGUGAAUGUGAUCUUGAGGCAAUGGCUUUAUUUACCAAAAAAUUCAAAAAGUUCUUAAGAAGAAUGUGGCUGGUAGUGAUGGGAAUAAGAAAUUCGGAAACAAAGGAAAAAGUAGUUUUUGAGUUGUAAAGAAAAGAAAGGGAUAGAAGGUCCUCUUGCAGGUCCUAAAUGUUAUGAGUGUCAUGGUUAUGGUCAUGUUGCACAUGAAUGCAUUAAUAAGUUGAAGAAAAAGACUAACUUCAAGGCAAUAUAAUCUGGGAUGACGAUAGUGAGUCUGAUAACUCUGAGGAAGAACAAGUAGAUAAUGCUCACUCUGUCCCAAAAUGUUUGUCCGGUUCGCAAAACGGAGUGUUAAAAAUAAUACAGUUUUUGCAAGAAAAAUUCAAAAGUUUUUCAACAGCUUGCUAGAUAUCAAUGAGUAUUUUUAAUUUGUGAAAAAAGUUUGAUUUUUUUCUUGAAAAUUUUUCAUUAUUUUUAAGUUAUUGUUUUGCGGACCGAACAAACAAUUUAGGACGGAGGGAGUACAAAUUUUAUGGCGUUUGGAGCUUCUUUGUAGUCAAACUUUAGUGAUAACGAGGAAAGUGAAGAAGUCUUAAGUUUUGAUGAGUUAAAAGAUUCCUAUGAUAUUUUGUAUACGGAGAGUAUGAAGAUUAAUGAGACUAACUUAAAGUUGGCUGAAAAUUAUAAUAAGUCUAAUGUGGAAUUAGCGACAGUUAAGAAACAAGUGGUAGAAUUGAAAGGGUUGUUGAGCAAUGUCACUAGUGAGAAAGAGCAGCCGAGUAAGGAAGUUGAGAGUUUGCAAGAAAAGAAUUGGGUCUUGAUUGAGUUAAACACUGCCUCGGACGGUAAAUAAAUUUGUUAAAUGUUGAGAUUGAUAAUGCUAAUAUUCUAUUUGAGCAUUUGAAUACACGGUCAAGGACAUUGGAUAAUAUUCUGAGCAGACAAAGACCGGCAAGUGACAAAACAAGGCUUGGAUUAUAUGAAACUUUGUCCUCAAAAACAGUCGGAGGUAAACCAACUGAAUGAGUUGGAAUCAAAGAAGGUAAUGCCGAAACUCCGUAGUAUAGAUACGGCUAAAAAUGUGAUUGGAAAGGCUCAUAAUAUUAGAAAUGGCAGUUUUGCUAAAUUCACUCCAUUUGUCACUUUUGUCAGAUUAAAGGUCACAUUAAACCAAAAUGUUUUCAAUUGCAUGGCUACCCUAAGGUUUUUGACACUAUAAAGAUACAACCAAGGAUGGCAGUAUAGGAAAUAUUAUGCCCAGUCUUUUUAAGUACAAAAAGGUCAAGAGCUUAAAGUCAAAAUCUUUGAAAAUCAAAAGAAUUUUGGUAAAAUUCGAACUAGACAGAUUUGGGUUAGAAAAAGAGAUUUGUGCUUUAUUUUUGUUCACACUACUUUUAAAGCUCGUAAUUCCCAUAUGUGGUAUCUUGACAAUGGUUGUUCUUGUCAUAUGUCUGGAGACAAGUCUGUGUUCGUUAGUUUUGAAAAUUAUAACGGAGGUAUAAUGACUUUUGGUGAUGGGAACACUUCAAAAGUUGUAGGUAGAGGGACCAUACGAGCUCCUAGGAUAACUUGCCUUGAAAAUGUUCUAUAAGUGGACGGAUUAAAAGCUAAUUUACUUAGUAUAAGCCAAAUGUGUGAUUCUCAUCAUGAAGUUCGAUUUUCUAAAAUUGACUGUUAUAUUUUGGAUUAAGAAGGAAAUAGUGUCAUGCAUGGUACUCGUACUAAUGAUAAUAGUUAUGGCAUACUCCCUACUAGUGAGAUAACGUGUCACUCUAUUAAGUUAAGCGACACUAAACUUUGGCACCAACGUCUUGGUCACAUUAAUUAUAAGGAUUUAUCUAUAUUGACUAAAUGUGAAUUGAUUAGAGGUGUGCCGAUAUUCAGCAAAUCGAAAAAUCAUGUUUGUGGUCCUUGCCAACUCGUAAGCAAAUCAAGGCAACUCACAAAAAGUCCAUUGGGAUAGCUCUACUAAGAGGCCUCUUGAACUUCUUCACAUAGAUUUGAUGGGCCCUUUUAGAGUGGAAAGCAUUGUAGGACACAGGUGACGUGGAAGAGUCAAAUUCAAGCGACGAUAAUCUAGAUGCAGAUAUUCCAAAAGAAGAGCAAAAAGAUGAUGAGCAGGAUUGUGAAAUUCAUGACGAGAUACUACCAUUGAACCCAUCAGCUUGAGUAAAGCUCAAUCAUCCCACAACUCAGGUAAUCGAAAAUGUUGUGGACCCAAUGAAAAUUCGCAGGCAGCUUAGGGAUGAGAUAUCGUAUGUUUGUUAUGUUUCUUUAGUUGAGCAAAAAAAUAUUAAGGAAGCCUUAAUUGAUGGUUUCUUUAGUUGAGCCAAAAAAUAUUAAGGAAGCCUUAAUUGAUGAAUGUUGGUUUGAUGCAAUGCAAGAAGAGUUACAUC